rnacentral:tRNA from 1 species
ACAAAAUUAAGUUAGAGUAGACUGAAUGUUUUCAAAACAUUUAGGGGUGGUUACACCAUUUUGUG